GGAUCCCAGCGGCCGUCCUGUAGCUGAGCAGGCCUGGGGCUUGGUUCUAUGUCCCUGUGGCUAUGUUUCCAGUGUCCUCUGGGUGUUUCCAAGAGCAACAAGAAACGAAUAAAUCUCUGAUGGAUUUUCCCUCUUGUUGCCCAGGCUGGAGUGCAAUGGUGUGAUCUCGGUUCACUGCAACCCCCUGCCUCCCGGGUUCAAGCAAU
rnacentral:lncRNA from 1 species